UACAGUCAGCUGUAUCUCAUUGUAGAAUAUGACUAGGAUUGCUCAAGUAUUCAUCACAUUUGCAGUUUCAUCUCUGUGGCUCCAAGGUUAUUCGCAGGAUGUGAUUCAGUACCCUGAAAUCAGCUGGAGUUUCUUCAACAAGGCUGCAGAGAUGAACUGCAGCCACAAGAAAGAUAUACGUUACACUCAGAUGUACUGGUACAUUCAAAGACCAGGAGAGACCAUGAGCCUCAUCGUCUUCACAGCCUCUGGUGGGAAGACUGACUAUGGUGCACUUGAUCAAACUAAAUAUUCAGCCAGCAAAGAAAAAGUUGAGAGUGGGGCUCUUACUGUGAAUGACUUGCAGCUGAAUGACAGCGGCGUGUACUUCUGUGCCGUCAGCAUACACAGUGAUGUGUUUGCCUGGGUGUUGAAGUCAAUCAAACACCUUUGGAGGUUUUCAGAAGACCUGGAGAAAAAGUCCAGCUGGUCUGCAGCCAUGGAAAGACUGACUACAUACUCAUGCACUGGUACCAGAAAUCCCCUGGAGACCAAGCUCUGA